CACGUGCCCUUACGGUACGAAGUGCGCAUGCUCGUAUUUGUGCCUGUCCUUAUAUAAGCAGCCCCUUGUCUGAUAAAAAGAACACUGUUCCCUGCCUACCGACCGCUCACAUGGUGUCAGAAGUGGGGCGGUGACGCGUCUCGCGAGCCGCGUUCGCCGCUGUUCUUCCCCGCACCCUCGUCCAGCUGCGCCGCUAGUACACUCAAGAGAAAGAAGUAUGACGUCGGUUCUACCACCGCCAAAGCCACUGGAAUGUACGGGUGAGGCUGACCAGAUCUGGAAAAGGCGGCCAGUUCUCCAGCGGGCGCAGCAUCGACCGGGUCUCGGGAAACUGUCGCGCCCGAUAAUGGCGCGCACCUUUCAGCGUAUCUUCGGGGUUGGCCGUUCGUCUCUUCGGCGACCCAGAAGAGUGGGCGGCCUGACAGCGCUCUGUUUGUGACAGCCGCCGGUGUCGCCUGGUCGCGGUGGCGGCGAAGAUUAUACGCCGCGCGAAGCCUCGCCCAGCCUCCGAUCCCAGCCCCAUUAGCCUUUGUUGUGCGCCAACUGCGCGGCCUACCGCUUUUCCUUUCCCCUGGAUUACAUUACAUUUUGUUCU